rnacentral:misc_RNA from 1 species
GUAGGUGAACCUGCGGAAGGAUCAUUACAGAGAACUUGCCCUUCGGGGUAGAUCUCCCACCCUUUGUUUACAUUACCUCUGUUGCUUUGGCGGGCCCGUCUUACGACCACCGGCUUCGGCUGGUCAGUGCCCGCCAGAGGACCCCAAACUCUUUUGUUAAUGUCGUCCGAGUACUAUAUAAUAGUUGAAACUUUCAACAACGGAUCUCUUGGUUCUG